rnacentral:tRNA from 1 species
GGAGAGAUGGCAGAGCGGACGAUUGCGACGGUCUUGAAAACCGUUGAGGUGCAAGCCUCCGGGGUUCGAAUCCCCCUCUCUCCGCCA